CCAAUGAUUGGCCUUGAAAGACUACUACUAAAGAAGCAGAGUUCUUAAGAUUUUUUUCUACAUUAUGAUCUGUUGCACCCUAUCCUUUAGUCUGAAUUAAAUUAAACUUUUACUAGCUCCUUUCUAGUCCAUUGACACCAAGUAAUUGAUUGAAUUUGCUGUUAGACAUAUAUAUAUAAUAUGUUACUAAUACUUAUGUUGAUAUUUGAAAAGAGUGUUGGGGUUUUAAAUAAAUCUACAAAUGAAGAAAUAAAUACCGUAGCUGCAAUGUAAAAAGUUUCCUUGAAUAGAAACUUGGUUGGUCAUAAUUAUUGUUUUAGGUGUUUUAAUAUAGAUAUUGAUUCUGAAUCUUUUUUGGUGAUGAGAUCUUUUUUUUUUAAUCUUUUAUAUUUGCAUUUGUUUUGAUACAUUCACGGGUACCAGUUUAAGUGUGCACAUACAUUUAUAUUGUUACAGUACUUAUCAAACCCAACGUAACGCCAGAGUAAACCCCAACUAAACUCCGGGUUUACUUUUGGGGCUUACUUGGGGUUUACCCCGGGUUAACUUUUGAAAAAUUUGUGUCCAGUUGGGGUUUACUUUGGGUCCACUCAGGGUUUACUUGCAGAUUGCUUUUAUGGUCCUCUUUAAACAUUGAAAAGGGAAGAAGACCUGUCUUUUAUCUUAUUAUCUUACUGCCUGUAAUUCCCACCCCUUGUAUAUUCCAAAUACAUAUGUGGUGUCUGCCUCAGGGAUCUACUUUUGAUCAGGGUUUACUAUGUGGGUUAACUUGGAGUUUAAAUUACUCUUGGUCCACUCAAGUAAACUCAGAGUAAGCCCCGAAAGUAAACCCAGGGUUUAAUCUGGGUUUACUUUCUGUUAGGUUGGGUCUGAUCAGUACUGUGUAUUUUUCUUGUAAAAAAAUAACCUUACUCUUUAAUAUCUCAGAACUUAUUGUUUGUUUAUUAAUUAAUCGAUAAUUUAUUAAUGCAUACACAUGUAACUUGAUGCAGGUGACAUGUACUUUAGGAUUUGUUUUAAUUAAUAUUUGUGUUUAAUUAAGGUAUAUAAUCAAUUAUAUUCAGGUACAAAAAUCAAUAUAACAUAUUGUUGAUGUUUUUAAACAUUUUUCCAGACAACUUUUUUGGAAGUUUUGCCAACUAGAUUUAGAUAAUAUAUAUAUUUACAGUAUAUACAUGUUAAAUUGUUAAUGAAUUUAUUUAUUUUGUAUAUAUAUAAUGUACAUGAUUCUAAACUUCUUUUUCUUUAUGUCCUCCAUGUUUAUAUUUUUAUGAUCAUGAUAAGCCUUUCAAGUUUCAUGAAAACAGAAUAAAUUUAUCCUUUUCUACU
rnacentral:misc_RNA from 1 species